UUUAUGGAGAGUUUGAUCCUGGCUCAGGAUGAACGCUGGCGGCGUGCCUAAUACAUGCAAGUCGAGCGAACGGACGAGAAGCUUGCUUCUCUGAUGUUAGCGGCGGACGGGUGAGUAACACGUGGAUAACCUACCUAUAAGACUGGGAUAACUUCGGGAAACCGGAGCUAAUACCGGAUAAUAUUUUGAACCGCAUGGUUCAAAAGUGAAAGACGGUCUUGCUGUCACUUAUAGAUGGAUCCGCGCUGCAUUAGCUAGUUGGUAAGGUAACGGCUUACCAAGGCAACGAUGCAUAGCCGACCUGAGAGGGUGAUCGGCCACACUGGAACUGAGACACGGUCCAGACUCCUACGGGAGGCAGCAGUAGGGAAUCUUCCGCAAUGGGCGAAAGCCUGACGGAGCAACGCCGCGUGAGUGAUGAAGGUCUUCGGAUCGUAAAACUCUGUUAUUAGGGAAGAACAUAUGUGUAAGUAACUGUGCACAUCUUGACGGUACCUAAUCAGAAAGCCACGGCUAACUACGUGCCAGCAGCCGCGGUAAUACGUAGGUGGCAAGCGUUAUCCGGAAUUAUUGGGCGUAAAGCGCGCGUAGGCGGUUUUUUAAGUCUGAUGUGAAAGCCCACGGCUCAACCGUGGAGGGUCAUUGGAAACUGGAAAACUUGAGUGCAGAAGAGGAAAGUGGAAUUCCAUGUGUAGCGGUGAAAUGCGCAGAGAUAUGGAGGAACACCAGUGGCGAAGGCGACUUUCUGGUCUGUAACUGACGCUGAUGUGCGAAAGCGUGGGGAUCAAACAGGAUUAGAUACCCUGGUAGUCCACGCCGUAAACGAUGAGUGCUAAGUGUUAGGGGGUUUCCGCCCCUUAGUGCUGCAGCUAACGCAUUAAGCACUCCGCCUGGGGAGUACGACCGCAAGGUUGAAACUCAAAGGAAUUGACGGGGACCCGCACAAGCGGUGGAGCAUGUGGUUUAAUUCGAAGCAACGCGAAGAACCUUACCAAAUCUUGACAUCCUUUGACAACUCUAGAGAUAGAGCCUUCCCCUUCGGGGGGGCAAAGUGACAGGUGGUGCAUGGUUGUCGUCAGCUCGUGUCGUGAGAUGUUGGGUUAAGUCCCGCAACGAGCGCAACCCUUAAGCUUAGUUGCCAUCAUUAAGUUGGGCACUCUAAGUUGACUGCCGGUGACAAACCGGAGGAAGGUGGGGAUGACGUCAAAUCAUCAUGCCCCUUAUGAUUUGGGCUACACACGUGCUACAAUGGACAAUACAAAGGGCAGCGAAACCGCGAGGUCAAGCAAAUCCCAUAAAGUUGUUCUCAGUUCGGAUUGUAGUCUGCAACUCGACUACAUGAAGCUGGAAUCGCUAGUAAUCGUAGAUCAGCAUGCUACGGUGAAUACGUUCCCGGGUCUUGUACACACCGCCCGUCACACCACGAGAGUUUGUAACACCCGAAGCCGGUGGAGUAACCUUUUAGGAGCUAGCCGUCGAAGGUGGGACAAAUGAUUGGGGUGAAGUCGUAACAAGGUAGCCGUAUCGGAAGGUGCGGCUGGAUCACCUCCUUU
rnacentral:rRNA from 2 species